rnacentral:rRNA from 1 species
UCAGAUGGGCCCGCGUCCCAUCAGCUAGUUGGUAAGGUAAAGGCUUACCAAGGCGACGACGGGUAGCCGGUCUGAGAGGAUGUACGGCCACACUGGGACUGAGAUACGGCCCAGACUCCUACGGGAGGCAGCAGUUGGGAAUCUUAGGCAAUGGGCGAAAGCCUGACCUAGCGACGCCGCGUGAGGGAAGAAGGCCUUCGGGUCGUAAACCUCUGUCAUGGGGGACGAAGGAAGUGACGGUACCCCAAGAGGAAGCCCCUGCUAACUACGUGCCAGCAGCCGCGGUAAUACGUAGGGGGCGAGCGUUAUCCGGAAUUAUUGGGCGUAAAGGGCGAGUAGGCGGUCUGUUAAGUCAGGUGUGAAAUUUCAGGGCUCAACCCUGAAACUGCGCUUGAAACUGGCAGGCUAGAGGACAGGAGAGGGAAGUGGAAUUCCCGGUGUAGCGGUGGAAUGCGUAGAUAUCGGGAGGAACACCAGUGGCGAAGGCGGCUUCCUGGACUGUACCUGACGCUGAGGAGCAAAAGCUGGGGGAGCAAACAGGAUUAGAUACCCUGGUAGUCCCAGCUGUAAACGAUGAGUGCUAGGUGUGGAGGGCUACAAUCCUCCGUGCCGCAGUUAACGCAAUAAGC